UUACUUUGGCAGAUUAGUGCUUUAGAUUUAGAAUUUAAAAAUGUAUGUUGAAUACAGGUAAUAA
rnacentral:tRNA from 1 species